ensembl:lncRNA
GGUGGUCCAGUGAUUAAGACUCCAUGCUUCCAAUGCAAGGGGCACAGGUUCAAUCCCUGGUCAGGGAACUGAGAUCCUACAUGUUGUAUGGCACAGCCACAAAACAAAACAAACCAUGGGUUCAAGUCUCAGUCUGGGUUCCGACUGGCUUUGAGUCCUGGCCCGUAGAUCCCAUCUGAAUUUCAUGGUUUUAGCAGGACCUUAAAGGGGAGUGGAUGCGUUGGCAAGACUAGAUCUUGGAUACUGAGGCCUGGGGGUUUCCCUGUAGCUCAGAUAGUAAAGAAUUUGCCUGUAAUGCAGGAAACCAGGGUUCGAUCCCUGGGUCAGGAAGAUCCCCUGGAGAUGGAAAUGGAAAUGGCAACACAACUGAGGAACUAACACUGUUACUACACUGAGGCUCUGAGAAGCUAGUGUCCCAAGCCCAGUAUGGAAGCUGCCUGUCUUUGAGAAUCUGAACCUGGAGAGAGAAGGAAUGACCACAGUGGACUGAAGGUAAGACUCCAGCUUCCAUGACCUUCCCUGAGUUCAAAAGGGUGGAUUCCAACAGUUGCUAAUCAAGGGAGAAGCAGCCAAGAAACCACCUGAAAGUGAAAGUGAAAGUGAAAGUGAAAAUGAAGUCGCUCAGUCGUGUUGGACUCUUUGCGACCCUGUGGACUGUAGCCCACCAAGCUCCUCUGUCCCUGGGGUUCUCCAGGCAAGAAUAAGAUGAAAGGGACCAGAGAAGCUCAUGAAGAUUGAGAUCCAGACCACCUGAGAUUAAAGGACUACAAGCCCUGCUCAUACCCUAAUCUUAUCAGAGACCCCACCUUUGAACCUCUGUUAUAAAACCUUCAUCAAAUCCUCUGAGAUACAUAGUUGUUGAAAAGCCUCACCACAUGCACAAUCUUAGUUUCCUGACCAGGGAUUGAGUCCAUGCCCCCUGCAGUGGAAGUAUGGAAUCUUAACCACUGGACUGCCAGAGAAUCUGCAGUAUCCUGU